AGAGUUUGAUCAUGGCUCAGGACGAACGCUGGCGGCGUGCCUAAUACAUGCAAGUCGAGCGAACAGAAAAGGAGCUUGCUCCUUUGACGUUAGCGGCGGACGGGUGAGUAACACGUGGGCAACCUACCCUAUAGUUUGGGAUAACUCCGGGAAACCGGGGCUAAUACCGAAUAAUCUCUUUUGCUUCAUGGCAAAAGACUGAAAGACGGUUUCGGCUGUCGCUAUAGGAUGGGCCCGCGGCGCAUUAGCUAGUUGGUGAGGUAACGGCUCACCAAGGCGACGAUGCGUAGCCGACCUGAGAGGGUGAUCGGCCACACUGGGACUGAGACACGGCCCAGACUCCUACGGGAGGCAGCAGUAGGGAAUCUUCCACAAUGGGCGAAAGCCUGAUGGAGCAACGCCGCGUGAGUGAAGAAGGUUUUCGGAUCGUAAAACUCUGUUGUAAGGGAAGAACAAGUACAGUAGUAACUGGCUGUACCUUGACGGUACCUUAUUAGAAAGCCACGGCUAACUACGUGCC
rnacentral:rRNA from 1 species